UUAUAGUGAUGGACACUGCAGCUGAUCUCUCAGAGCCGAGUUUAUUCUGAACCUCACAGUAGAACAGUCCACUCUGUAGAGCUCUGUAACUCUGUCCUGAUCCUACAGAUG